rnacentral:rRNA from 1 species
UACGUAGGGUGCGAGCGUUGCCCGGAUUUAUUGGGCGUAAAGGGCGCGUAGGCGGCACGGCAAGUCGGGAGUGAAAGCCCGGGGCUCAACCCCGGAGGGUCUACUCGAAACUGCCGAGCUAGAGUGCGGAAGAGGCAAUCGGAAUUCCCAGUGUAGCGGUGAAAUGCGUAGAUAUUGGGAAGAACACCGGAGGCGAAGGCGGAUUGCUGGGCCGACACUGACGCUGAGGUGCGAAAGCGUGGGGAGCAAACAGG